GGCCAGGGCAUGGGGGCCUGGCCCGGUGUCAAAGGCUGGAAGGAGGCACAGAUCCAACAGCAAGCCAGGUUCAGAGCAUGGCCAGCGUCAGGGCAGCCACAGGAAGUCAAAGGCCUCACUCAGCACAGCCUUCCUCCUUUCUGAGAAAGACCAUCAAAGCAGAACAAAGGUGGCUGACAGGGUGAGGAGAGUUCCAGCCUGGGCACUGGGGGGGCUUCAGUCCUGCUUAGAGAAGGCACCGUCUGCCCAACUCCUCCCAAGACCACUGCUCACUCGGACACCUACCACCUGUACCCAGCCAUCUGGCCCCUCUGACAAGACUCCUUCCCGAACCACUGCCCCCACCGACACCUUUCAGAAUCAUAUGGUUCCCAGUCAGUCACCCAGCUCUUGUAAAUCCAGCUGAAGCAGGAUGAUCACAAUAGCCAAGACUGUUGGACUGCGUACUGCAUGCAGAACGCUUCUCUAUACUCCAUACGGAGGACUCGACUCUGAUAACUGCUCACAAUGACCCUUAGAGACGAGCUGUACGAGAGGCGGAAGCAAACUCUCCUUUCUCCAUGGAGCCACCUGCCAGUCACUGAGGAGGACCUGCUAUACGGCAGACACUGUAUGGGAACUGUAUGUGGUUGAACAACGCAAGUCCCCAGUUCCAGUCUGACAGUGCCUACAGCACAAAAGGUCAAGUUCACCCAUUCAGGUAGAAGCCAAUGAACAUUCCUGAGGACCUACUGGGCUCCAGACAGCGCCUAAGAUGAGCUGUGAAAGCCACAAGAGUUGGCAGUGAUAUUAUCCCACCGACAAAUGAGGACACAGCUCAGUGAGGACAAAUGACCCCCUACAUUCACUCAGUGUGGAAGGGGAGGAGCCGGCACUCGGAUUCAGCCAGCCCUGCCCGGCUCCACAGGGCGUGCUCUUUCCACGGCACCGCAAUGCACAAUCCGACACCAGGGAGCAGCCCCUCCAGGAAAGUCAGAACUCGCCCUGCGGUGUCCACUCCUCCAUCCACAGCCCCCCAGGGUCAUUCCACCCGUUUCCUUUAUAGUUUGCCAUUGGCCCAGUUCAGUUCCGGUGGCACUGCCCGUCCCGGAUGCAGGCCAAAGACGGGCCAGGCUUUCAUAGCAGAGAUGAAAGGCAGGGGAGCUGUGUGCACGAGGUCUGAACAAAUGUCAACUGCUUUCAUCAGGAAAACCCAAAAUUACCCACUCUUACACACAGUCUUUCAUCUCCUACAGGGCAAGCAGAGGCUGCUUAUUAGAAAAGCUGCCUUGUCCACAAUCUCCCUUGAGGGGGAUGGGGCCGAGGGGCACAUGCCAGCGUCACCCUCAGAAUCACUAGACUGCCCCACUCUGAGGGGUGGAGCGGCCAUCAGAAACACAGGCUCCACUCUACCCUUUGCCACAGGACGCUGACGAGCCAGACAGAGAGGAGGUCUGUCCACACCGGCCGCCACCGCUGCACAGGGAGGGGACUGCCAACAGACAGCCGUCCCCAGAGCGGGCUGCAGGAGCGCCGGGCCGGCCAAGCCACCAUGCACGCCUCCCACACACAGCCUGCAGCCCCAGGAAAUGGAGGUUUGAGACCGCAAGCAUAAAUGUCCAGGAGGGCUGACCGGCCCCUCUAUUUCUUCCCUCUUUUUUUCUCUCUCUCUUUUCCAGCAAAGCCAGCAAUUGAGAACUCCACAUGACAGAUUCCUGUGGCUAAAAGGGGCCUCUUGAGGUCAUCGACCCUGUUCCCCCACAUCAAGACAAGCCUGUCCUGAAGCUACUCAGAGGCUGGCCACAGUCCUCAUUACAGGAUCUGGAGGAGAGGCUGCCACCUCCUUUGUUGCUACCAGGGCAGCCUCGCCUUCUGUCUCACAGCACUCGUGACAUUUAAUUUUCCUCUUUUAGUCCAAUAUCUGUGUCCUGGCUCAUGACUGUGAGCGCCUAAGGCGAGGGACCCUGUUGUAAUCUUCUCUGUAUCUUCAGAACUUAGCAUAAUGCCUGGUCCAGUGGGGCUACUUAGUAAAUGAUGGUGGGUGGGUGGGUGAGUGGAUGAGUGGACAGGUGCAUAGAUGAGUGUGUGGAUUAGUAAAUGUGGGUGGGUGGAUGGACAGAUGGGUGGGUGAGUGGAUAGAUGGAUGGAGGUACAGGCUAAAAAGGGAAAGAGAGACAGAAGAUGGUUGCAGUUAGGAGCUAUCAAACACACCCCCUUUAGACUGCCAGAAUCAUGGAACUUUGAGGCCAAAAGGGACUUGAGAGUUCCUCUAAGUCUCACCCCUACUCCUUAUUUUGCAGACGUGGAAACUAACAUUCCUACCCGAGCUGCUGUGUCCGAGGUCACAGGACUGAGGGUGAGCGAAUCCACAGCAGCACCCAGGGCUCUGGGCAGCCUCAGUCGGAAAGGAGACAUGGUGAUCCCUCCUCCUAUCAGAACAAAAAUGACACCCACACUCCGACUCGUGCAGAGUGGCACUGCUUCUUUCUCCCACCCGUGAAGCUUCAGCUACGUGCCCUAAAACUGUGAUGGAACCAAGAGGAAGAGAGGCACGGGGAAGAAGGAGUGUCAGUCUCCCGUGGUCAUAAGGAAGCUUAAGGCGACAGCCCAGCGAGUGCCCACCAGGAGGGCCAGUGCUCCUGCUUCGGCCCUGAUCACACGCCUCUUCAGAGGGAGCGGGGAGCAAAGCUGAGCGUUUUCAUCUUCCUCCAUUCCAUCUUUCUGCCGUAAUUCCUGCUAUGAGAGAAAACGCAGCCAAAAUCCAGAGACCAGAAUGAAAUGGCCCAUCUCCAGCUCGGUUAUGGAGCAUACAGAUGAAUCAGUCACAACUAUUUCCUGAUGGUCUGCUGUGCGUUCAGGCCUGGGACGAGCACAGACCCAGGACAAUUCAAAAUCUAGAUCCUGGACCAAACCUACAAUUCAGGUUUCUAACUGCCGACUGCUCAUUCAUUCUCUCAUUCAUGUAACAAAUCACAGCUGAGCACCGGCCACAUGCCCUGGGCUAGGUUUUGGAGUUUGGGUCCAUUCUCUGCCGAGUACGCAGGAAGCUUGAACCUGAUUGUGAGCAGUGAUCAUCCCCAUCACUGGUGUCCACAUGGUGCUUUUCCAUUCUCAAAGCAUCUGUCCAAACACAGAUGCAUUCAACCCCCACAACGACCCCAGGGAAGUCAGCAGGGAGUGUUCUCAAGCUUUCCCACUGUACAUUUAGGGAAACCGAGGUACCGAGGGUUCGAGACUUAUCCAUGAUCAUACAGCAGAACGGUGACUCAAACCCUCCUCUUCUGUUUUCUUUUGGGUACAAAUCCCUGUGAGAGACAUGAGGAGUCUGUGUCAGGAAAAGAUCCCAGUAGGCAGGGGUGGCCAGAGUGGACUGGACAGCGGAGGACGUGGAUAUGGGGAAAACAAAAGGCAGGUGGCUCCUGAAAGGACACGGAGCAGAGCUCCUCUAGCUCAGUGUGAGGCAUCCACAGGGCUGGGCACAGUUCUUGACGUGAACGGAGAAUCUAAACCAAAGCGAGAGCCUUGUAUGUUGCUGAGGAGGAGGAGGAGGGUGCAAAAGCGAUCAGCUCUGAGUCAGACAAACCCUGGUUGUGCUUCUGUCUGUGCCGUUAUAAACUGUGUGCCCUAACUGAGCCUUGACUUUCUCAUCUGUAAAGUGGGACUAAUGGGGUCCAUUCCAUCUCUACAGAAUUCAGUGGGAUUAAGGGUCAGACACAGUGGCGUGAAGCGAGUGCCCCACAUCUCUCUUGUUACCUAAGGGGACCUGCAAUGCCACCAUGUUUGUUUGCUUGUUUUGCUUGAGGUGAAAUUCACAUGAAAUAAAAUUAACCAUUUAAAAGUAUACAAUUCAGCAGUAUUUAGUGCAUUCCCAAGGUAGUACAAGUCAUUGCCUCUAUCUAGUUCCAAAACAUUUUCAUCGCUCAAAACAAAACUGCAUACCCAUUAAGCAGUUACUUCUCAUCGCCUCCCACCCCUGGCAACCACCAAUCUGCAUCGUCUCUAUGGAUUUACCAAUUCUGG
ensembl:lncRNA